GGUCCUCGUCAGCAGGGCAGCACUGGGAACAGCGGGGAUGGGACCCCCGUGCGUCCCCUGUGAGCUUUCAGCCUCCUGCAGCACCUUGCCUCCCAGCACCGGUGUGUGGGAUGGGACAGAGAGCCCAGGGACCCCCGUGUGAAGCCCUGGUGCUGCCGGGCGCUGCGGCAGGGGCUCAGGGGCACGUCAGGGCUGGCACCGAUGGAGCAGGAAAGUGCAAGGCUGUGAGACGAGUCCUUGGCAGGGGAUGGCGGCCGGGCUGCCGAGCGGGGACGCCUUGGCAAGCGGCACAAAGCCGCCUCUGUGAGCGCCCAGCCCUCCCCGCCCCGCUGGGAAACAGCACAGGGCUGCUUUCUGGGGCAGGCUGGCAGUCGGGCCACGGCCCCACUGCCCCCCGCUGUCCCCUGCCACCUUCUGCGUCCCUGCCACCCUGUGAUGGGAGUCCUCCCCACCCACGGGUUCACAUGCCAGAUCCCCAUCAUGGGGAUAGACAGACAGUCACCUGCCUUCAGGGUGGGAUGCAGGAUGAUCCCCAGCCCCAGGAGGAUGCAGCCUCCCCAUCACCCCACUGCUGUAGGUCCCCAUGAGGAUUGGGGGCUGCACCCAUCCUUUAGCUCUUGGCCCAGCACUUGGGGUUGAGCAGCAGUCCUGGGUACCGCCUGGCUCUGUGUGUGGUUCUGCUCAGUACUGAGACCCCAGGUUGGGGGGCACAGGGGACAGCAGCCCCCAGGCACACCUGGGAAGGGCUGCAGCACCCCUAACCCUGUGAGUCACAUCACCGCUCUGUCCCAAUCACCUGGGGACCAAGGGUCACUCCAGGCCACACACAGCCCAGCAGCAUCCAGUAGCACCAGGGGGUGACGGGGCUGAGCCACAGGUGGGAUGCGGCACCGAGCCACCCCUCUGCAUGGCACUUGUCCAGGUGGGGAAACUGAGGCACAGCAGGGCCCCAGGACAGCAAGGCUGAGCUGCGUGGUGGAAGAGAUGGAACCGCAGGCGGCUGCUGGGUGAUGAUUUAUCCCCUCCACUGGGCCUCAGCUUGGGCUGCAUCCAGGCACGGACGGGGCUGCCAGCACGUCCCAGCGCUGCCGUUAGCUCCGCGCCUUCCCACCGCUGCCGGCACAUCCCUCGCCCGGCCCCCCAUAUCCAUCUACAGUGCCAGUGCCAAGCUGUGAGGUGCCCGUGCCCCCCGCUGCAGCCCCCUCCUCCUCCUCCUGGUUAUGGCUACGUCCGGGGGCCGCCAGCCUCCCCCAGCACACCCGGCCCCAUUUGUCAUGCUGUGAGCGUCGCCCCCGGCUUCCUCCCGCCGGCAGCGCUGGCACAGCCCUGCAGCACUCACUGCCACCUCUGCGCCUGCCGGCCUUUGGUCUCUGCUGGUGGCACUGGGGAAGGGGCGAGGGACCGGUGACGCAUGGGUCGUGCCCCCCGCAGACACUGUUUGCUUUGUGAUAAGGUUCUGUAGAACAGCAAAUAGAUGGUGUGGCAGCGGCCCUCAGCCUGGGGCCUCGCAGAGCUGCCCAUAGCGGGGCACCAACACCACCCAGGGACAGGGGGCUGCAAGGAAGCAGUGCCCACAGGGAUGCCUUUCACUGUGCCAUCAGGUCCCGUGGGCUCAGCCAUCACUUGUCACCACACCGAGUUCAAUGACACCACGUCCGCCCCUGUCUCAGUGCCACUUCAUGCGCCGGGGCCAAAGCUCGGGGACACCCUGAGCCCCAAAGCUCUGCAGUGCCCAGACCCCAACCCGCUAAUCCACUGCACCAGGGUGGGGGAUGCAGCACUCCAGUGGUGUAAUCCGGAUUUAGCGCCAAGCAGCAGCAGCUGCUGCCCCACAGUGCUGGCAGCCCAGCACUGGGAUGAAGGCUGCACACCCCCCCCGUGCCCAUGGGUUCCUGUGCUGCUCGGGUGUCAGCACGGUGCUCUCAUGUUCCCAGCUCAGUGUGACGGCAGCAGCACCUCAGAGGCACAGCAGCACAAUGAUGGCAUGGCUGCUGGCAUGGCCUGGGGUCCCUGUGCCAGCCUCACGCCACCGCCGGCCACCCUCCCCCAGCCCAGCACAACACAGACCUGUGUUUUUCUCCUGACCUGGCUUCCUAAAUUUAGCAGCCUGCCCUGCUCUUAGCUACGUGCCGCGCUCCCACCUCCCAACACAGCACGGCCUCACCCAGCCCUGUGGGCUGCAUCAGGAUGGGCGCAGCGAGCACAGCCACCCCUCAUUCUCCUGGGGUGAGGAGAAUGCUCCUCUAUGGGCACCAUAUGGAGACCCUCGGGAAAUAGGAGACCAUCAUGAGGUAGCUCCCCCCCCACACAGUCUAGUGGUGGACAUGCUGGGGUUUGGGAUGCGAUGGGGACAGAGGGGACAUCCAGCAGCACCAUGGAAUCCAGCUCAGGCACUCAGCCGAAGGGCGGGGGGGACAGCACACCAUGCUAGUGGCCAGCAGCACGUCAGCCAAGGUACACCUUCCACAGCCCCAGGCCUGGCCGUGACCCCACUGUCAUCACUGUGGCCCCAUGGCCAUGCAGGACAGGGAGAGGAUCCCCAGGACAGAAUGUUCUCUGAAUGUCCCAACACCAUGGCCAUGGGCAGCCCCAUCACGCUGGCAGCCAUGGUCCCCUCUGAGCCAGCCAAGCCCCUUUGCCACACAUACUCCCUCCAAAGCAGCGGUGCUCGCCUCGUUACUGGGAUGAGCACAGCACUUUUGCAGUGGUGGACAUGCCGGGGUUGGAGAUGUGAUGGGGACAGUGGUGGCACCACGAGCAGAGGGUGGCACAGUUGGCAUGUCCUCCCCUGAAGGGCUAUGGGGAAACUGAGGCACAGAACAAAGGUGCCAAGCACGUGGCAGAGAUUAAACACGCAGACUGCCCGAAACCACAAUUUGAGCUUUUCCAUCACACCUAGGAAGGAUGACACCUCUCAGUGUCCUAACGCACACCUUCAUGGGGUACCACCAAGCGUCCAGCACCCAAAAACACGCACCACCAUCCACCAGGGUCACAGCUGUCCCCAGCCCUGCGUCAGCAACCCAGCGGUGCUGCGGAUGCGGGGGUGGCCGGGACCCCGUGGCGAGAAAACAGAGGGCAGGGGCCUCUGUUUUCUCAGUCCGAGGAGCCCGUGGGAUCCCAGUCCUCCCCCCGGUCCCCCUGCGCCAAGGAAAACAGCCUCGGCCGGGGCCCGUUUGUUUGCCGUGGCCGCGGCCCCAGUGCGAAUGCAGCUGCAGCGCAGCCGGGCGCUGCGGGACCUUUGCACCUGAGCCGGGCUCCCCGCGGCGGCAGCACCCCGAUGCCACCCCCGAGCAUCCACACCGCUCCCCAUCCGCCGCUGGGGGGGCGCGGCGGGCAGCUGGGCACCGUCUCUGCAUCGACAGCCCGUGCGCCGUCAGAUGCGACCGCCGAGCUCGGGCACCAUCCGGUUGCCUAUGGAAAAUUCCCGUCUCCUCCUCCGCGUGGGCACGGCAGUCCCGCAGCCCCGGGGCCGCCCCGUGUGCCCGCAGAUGGGAGCCCGACGGCGGUGCCUCUCUUUCCCCAGGAGCUCUCCUGCCAUCCCGCAGACACACGGAGCGCUGCAGACGUCACGGCCGCGCUGUGCUCUGCCCUAAAAAUACCCGCACGGCACACACGGCCCCACCGCGUGGGAGCCCCUGACACCCGAUGCGGCCGCCGCACUUUCCAGCACUUACACACACACACACACACAUCGCUGGCACGGCUGAUUAAAAAUUAAAGUGGAAAAUAAAAGAAAAGAAAAAAAAAGAAAGGAAAAAAAUGGGGAGGGGAGUGCGAGGGGUUGCAGCAGAGCAAAGAGGGCUGAGAAAUGCGAGGGGCGGCGGGGCUCCCCCAAGGGCUGCAGCUCUGCCUCUUUACGAGCAUUCGCAGGAUUUUUUUAUACGUUGUGGGAGGGUUUCAGCAGCUGGAGAGGGAAGAGGAAGGCAAAGCAAAGCAAACAGCCCCUGCGCUGCUCCGGCUGUGCCACCUGCGAGCGACUGCGCUGUGGGGCAGCGUGCCGUGGGGCAGCGCGCCGGGGGGAGGCGGCCAGCGGCUCCUUCCUUCUGCAGCAUUCCCGGCUCGGGGCUCCGGAGGAACUUUUGGAGUUAGGGGAGGAGGAGAUGAACUCGAGCCAUGCCCAGCCGGGCUCUGCAGGAAAUCAGAGCAGUGAGAAGGGAGAAAAGUCGCCGAGCCUUGGGACUGGAGCACAUAGAACCGUAAUCAUAGAAUCAUGGAAUCAUAGGAUCACAGCAUGGUUGGGCUGGGAAGAACCUUACAGCCCCCAGGCCCAUCCCUGCCAUGGUCUGGCUGUCCCCCAGCUCAGGCUGCCCAGAACCCCUCCAUGGCCUGGGGCACCUCCAGGGAUGGCACCCACAGCUCUUGGCAUCAGUGCCAGCGCUUCACCACACUCUGAAAGAAUUUACUUCUAACAUCUCACCUAGAUCUCCACCUUUCAGUACAAAGCCAUUCCUCCUUGUUCUAUCCAACUAUGCCCUUGUAAAUAUUCCCUUUCCGUAGAGGACAAGGGCUUUCCUUUAGCCCUUUUAGGCACUGGAAGAGCUGCUGUAAGGUCUCUGCAGAGCCUCCCCUGGGCUGAGAAUCACCGAACAGACUCAGAAGCACAGAACCACCCCAUUACCUGCACUCUGCCCCUUCUAUCUGCCCUCACCAGUGCUGCCCUAUGCCCAACUCCCAGGCGGCCUCAGCCUCGUGCUCUGUGUCACUGCGCACAAGCCCACGCAUGGGAUCACUGGCCCUGAGAUCCAGCCCUGCCUGGUGCUGGAUGAGGGCGGCCAGGACAGGGGCCGGGGCAGCUGCAAGCAUCCUCAGCCAUGAAGGACGGGCACUGGGCGCCGGGGGCUGGAUGGGGUCAUGCUCUGCUUCCUGCCAUCCGACCUUCCUGCAGCUGAGAUGGUGGUGGUGGGAGCACACAGCUGAGGAAACAGCUUCACCUGCAGCCCCGUGGCUCCUCUGAAGCACAAAGCCUCGGACACCUCUCUUGCUGGGGACAAGGCAGCGGGUGCCUCCGGUCCCAGUGCCAGGUGUCACCGCCCGCCCUGCUGGUGGGACCGGCACAGCUCUCCUCCACCACCAUGCACACGCUGUCCUGCAGCCGGGCACAACAACAACAAGGAAUAAUUGGUUAAUGCGAUUUCAAAACAUGAUUUGCAAUUAUAACUCGCCAGAGAGCAUUCAA